GGGAUCGGAAUACGAAAUAAAAUUUCUUAUAUCCGGUUGCAAAGUGAAACUGCUUCAUGCUUCAAGUUAUUGAAUUAUGUAGCAAUUGCACGUUACACAUUAGAGAACUGUUCCUUUUGAUAAAGAAAGUCACAAAAUAGAUACAAAAUGAGUGUACCUUAUUCAUUACUGUUACCGAGCUUUCGUCGGUGAAAAUCUCGAAAUGGCGUGUUUCGCUGCGCUUCGUCCACAUUUUCUAUGUGGUGACUGAAGUCUGGUCAGUCGGCAGGCAGCAGUACUCAAUUUACCGCAUUCCUACAAUCCAACUGAAAUUACGGGUAUUCAGAAUCAGCCUUUAAACAGUUGAUGAAGCCCGCCCUGGUAGAUGGAAUCUGCCGCUUGACCAGCAGCACUGUCCAGAGACAGUGGUUGAUGCUGGAUAUAUGACUUUUCCUCAGCCCAUCAUUACCUGCUGGAGUGCUGGUAGAGGCUGAACGCUUUAAUAAAUAUAACUGUGAUCUUGCUGAGAUGUAGUAAUCCAUGGGAAUUUUCCAAAGAAGAUUCAAGAGAAGUAUUCAAUUAUAUAAGUUCAGACUGUAGAGAGCAUGAAAGCAGAUAUUACAGUUAUCUCCCUUAGACUAGAUGAAUUACAAUACAGAACUUUCAAAUCAUCUAAGUUUAGAGUUAUAAUGCUAUUUGAAUUCUUUGAAUUUGGCUACGGUUACUAGUUAAAGACAUAACCACAUGUAUUGCCUCAGUUUACUUACAAUUAUAAUAUAUACCUAUAAGUAUAAAUUGUCCUUCUCUUAAUUUUGUAUACUUUGUGGAAUUUAUAAAAAUUGCAUGAUCACUGUUCGUUAUCUUCUCUUUAUAUUAGCAGUAGAUUCUCUGUACCUGACUCACCAGGAAUGCAUUCUUAGGUCACCUUAGUCACUCAGGUGAUCGUUUGCUAUUGAUCUGCCCGUUCGUUAUCGCCGUCUGUCAAUUGUAUAUCGAUUCGUUAAACACCCCUCUCAACAAAAUUUCACUCAUGGAGACAUCAUCAGUUCCGGCGAAGGGCUGCAAAAUUUAGGUCUAUGCUCGGCGCUUAUGGCCUUUGAGCAGGGAAGGAUUUUUAUUUUGCCACAAAACAUUCUUGGGAAAAGGGGAUUCAUGUUUGUUCAAAUGAAGCAGCGUGUCAACUUGAAAGGGGAAAUUAUACAGUGAAACUUCUCCAAAUCGGCCCCUCAGAAAACCACUCCUCUCUGAAUAUCGCCCAAUUCUUAAAGUCUCUGUAGGAAUCUUAACAUAUCCUUUCAAAGAAAUUCAUAUAGUCCAAAGUGUGACUUUUCGAGAUCUCCGCCAUUUUUGACAAGGGACUUCUGGGAUGAUCCUCAGUUAUAGGUUCAGAUUUAGCUCGGAUUAUUCUGUGCUCUUUAGUCAUUGGAGCUUGCAGCAUGAGCCAGAGCACUGCACUCACUAUUAAUAUGCAAGUAGCUGCAUUUAAUUUAAAUUGAAGUUGAACACAAGGACCCCAGGGGUAGCGUGGGGGCACAAUAUGAAAUCGGAGUUUUAUAUGGUAAUAUGCAGAAAAUUUAUUAAAACAAAGACUUUUCAAGAGGAGCAGAGCCACACUAAAUCAUAUCCAAAUGCAAAUGUCCCCAAGUUGUGUGAAAACAAGGUUUUUUUAUGACCCUGACUAAGGAUGGGGUGGAAUUGUUUUUGUCCUGUCUGUCUGAAAUUUUAACCUUCCUCAUAACUUUUGAAUAAUGAGCAGUGGGGCUCUCAUAUUUGCAUUCUUUUUUGUGGCCAUAAAGUUUUUCACCUUGUGACCUUGACAUUAGAGUUGGAUCUACUGACCGGUUUAGGUAGAACUUUCAUAUUUUGUAUACAUACAUGUAUAAUGACCUGAAUGUUUUACAGAAUAGUCAUAUGGUAGUGAGGCAUUCCUGUGUUGUGUGAAUUUAAGUUUGCUUUAUGUCGUGAACUUCGGGGCUAGGUGGGGCAACAAAAUAGAGUCAACAUAUUUCAUAGGAAUAAUGAUUUAAAAUACAAAAAAAUUUGAAAAUCAAAACAGCUGACCAAGAGCAAGGUAACUCGGGUGAGUGAUGUGGCCUAAGGGCCUCUUUGGGAUUAAACUCUAAGGUUAUAAAGUAUGUUUUUAACAAUUUAUCUGAAAUUAUUUGUAUGCGUUGAUUUUGGGGUCCUGAAGGUCAAGGUCACUACUGGACUUCAUAGAAAAGGUAGUAUAAAUUCAUUAAGGAAGCAUAUGCCCUGCGUUGCAGAGUUCUUAGGCCACUGAUAAAAUGUGUUGUGUUUCCGCUAACCCGACUGACCCUAAAUUAUAGCCCCGACCCUAGAUUUUGUUUUUGAUAUUUAAAACAAAAAUCGUCAUUUUCCCGGAAAAAAUGUAUUCCCGGUUCUUGGUUUUCGGUUUAGUUAGACAUUGAGAUGAAGUCAUUCAAACGCUUUAAUGAUAUACAAAAUUGCAUGGUUUUGUGUCAAGCGUUUAAACAACAUUGAUAAUGUUUCUAACUAACAGCAUGGAUGAUGGUUGACCCAGUGGCUGGUACCUCCAUGCGUGCUCACGCAACGAUGAUUUAACAAUUGAAGUUAACAGACGGUCGAGAGACUCUGCCAAGUGUCAUGUUUUCAUAGAAGACUUUCUUUUGUUAAAAUUGCCAACUCCUAUGUUGUUUUUAGACGGUGGCUAUUUAUAGCCAUGCACUGUCUUAUGCUAUCAUUUCAAUGGGCAUUAGACGGGGACCCUAGUUUUAUAUGGAGGUCAUGAUGCAGAGUGACAGACAUGAAUGUCCAGUCUGUCAAAUUUGUAUGCACAUCCUUGGUUUCUGCUGCAGUUCUAACUGAAAACACUAUGAAAACGGUCGCAAAUAACGCAGUGAGCGCAUCCGAGUUGUUGAUGGCUGGUGAGAGCCGAGAGGAAAAAAAGAUGUGCAGAUUGUUUUUAAAAUAAAAAUUUAUGUCCGGUAAAAAGUUUUAGCUGGAAGAGAGUUGGAUCCCAUUAGGAUAAGUGGGAUCUGCCCAGACUGUCUUCCUACCCUUGUUCCAUUUAGAUUGUGAAAAUACAUUCAGAAAUGUAUUAAUAAACUUAAAAUAUGUUAAUGAUGUUGAUAUUUUGGUGAAGAUUUAAUAUAUUUUUUCAAAACCAUCACAUUAUUUUCCUGUCAAACAUAUCCAAUAGAAGUAUUCCUAUGACAACCAAUCUAAAUGUAGAAACAAUAUAUCUGGUACUUGUAGAGCAUAGUGGCAUAGAGGAGUUAACUUUUGUUGUUUUAUGCUAGAUAUGUUUCAUUGAAAAAUAUAGUUUCUUAUAAAACAUCUGGAAAUAAUCCUCAGCCAAUAACAGGUGAAAUGUUAUGAUUGAAAGGAUAUGGGGCUCACAGCGGGUGUGACCGGUCAACAGGGGAUGCUUACUCCUCCUAGGCACCUGAUCCCACCUCUGGUGUGUCCAGGGGUCCGUGUUUGCCCAACUAUCUAUUUUGUAUUGCUUAUAGGAGUUAUGAGAUUGAUCACUGUUCGUUAUCUUCACCUUGCAAUGCAAUUUAAGCAAAAUUUUAUUUUGAAAGUAUAAAAUUCAAUAGAACAUUUAACUUGUGCAGUAAUUAGGGCUAUACGGACCGUGGAUAUCGGCCUGGAUAGCUCAGUGGUUAGAGCACCUGACUAGAAAUGCAGGGGUCCAGCCAAAGAUUUUCUCCUUCCCAUACUACAUUUGGUACCGUUGACCACCCCUAAUGGUGCAGGUUGGCCUGUCAGGGGCAAAAAGAACCUGGGUUGAUAUUGAAAGACAAUUAUAAAAUUAUAAUUGAUCUUAAGGAGGGAGGAAUGUAGUAAUUAGGGCUCUACGGACUGGAUAUUGGCCUGGAUAGCACAAUGGUUAGAGCACCUGCCUAGUAACGCAGGGGUCCCAGGUUCGAUUCCCGGUCCAGCCAAAGAUUUUCUCCUCCUUCCUAUACUACACUUGUUAGAGUUUACAAUGUUUUUGCAUACUUUGAAAAAAUAAAAUUUAAAAAAAAAAUAAAAAUUUAUUUCCUACCUUCUUACCCUAUUUUUUUCUGGAACAUUAGCGGAAACUCAACAAUUUUUAUCGUUGGCCUUAUUCAUAUUCUAUCAUGAAACGGAGAACAAAGUCGCUUGACAAAAUUCUCUUCAAAAAAUUUACUGAGCAUUUUCAACCUGCAGACAAUUUUACUUGCCUGUCUGAUUUCUGGUGAUUCCAGCACUCAAUGCUACUUUGGUUUUUCAGCUUUCUGGACCUUAAGAUGUUGACACCCUGCUGAUGGAGCAGAAGCAGAAAGCAGUUCUCUUACCAUCAGAUCUGAUCCAUUUUUGGAGAUAGCCUUUUGUAUGGAGCUGGAUAGCGGUUACUGGAGACGUGCUGUUGAUUGAUGAGGAUAAUUUUCCCGAGACUCUGACAUAUAUUGCAGGACCUGGAUAGCUCUACUGGUGUUCAAAAUGCCAGGACUGUGGAGUGUUGUGAUGUUAUUGAUGGUCAACAGAAGACUGUGACCUUGAAUCUGAAGAUCUGUGAUGAAGACUGGACGUUUGGAGUCACUCUCUGUUACAGUACUACAAAUCUAACAGUGAAACACUCAGCCACAAAGAGGUUGUCUCUGAUGUCCACACAUAAACCCCAUGGAGACUCUAAAUGACAGUGAAUGUAACGGAGGAACUGUCCGUCCUGAUCUAGGAUGUGGAUACGGUCAUUGUUAUAGUCUGCUGUCAGGAUGUGACUCUGGCUGUCUGUAGUGAUGCCGACUGGAUCAAAUGAUUGCUGGGUAUUAGAGGGAUGACCAGUGUAUCUAAAUCGGAGUUUUCCUGACUGAUUGACCACCACUACUGCUCUAGCUGUAUAGUCAGCCACACAGAUAUCCAGGUUCUUGUUCUCACUGAGGUAUUUAAUGUCACCAGAUGAAUAGAGAGGACGACCCUGAUCAUCAAACUGAAUGCUUUGUUGUUUCUCUGUGGAGCCGGAGUAACGCACGACUUUGGAUUGUUUGACAUCAUCACUGUCCAUGGUAACCAGGAGAUUGUUACCCGCGGUACAGCAGACAGAGCGAGGACUCCACCCCUGUAGUGUGAUCACGAUUGAGUUGAGUGGAACAAUGAACCUCCGGAUAUCUAUGUACAUUUACACGUGUAGGAUUAAACUUCUGUUGUACUCGCGCAUGCGAGCUUAUCCUA